rnacentral:rRNA from 1 species
AUUGAACGCUGGCGGCAGGCCUAACACAUGCAAGUCGAGCGGAUGAAGGGAGCUUGCUCCUGGAUUCAGCGGCGGACGGGUGAGUAAUGCCUAGGAAUCUGCCUGGUAGUGGGGGAUAACGUCCGGAAACGGGCGCUAAUACCGCAUACGUCCUGAGGGAGAAAGUGGGGGAUCUUCGGACCUCACGCUAUCAGAUGAGCCUAGGUCGGAUUAGCUAGUUGGUGGGGUAAAGGCCUACCAAGGCGACGAUCCGUAACUGGUCUGAGAGGAUGAUCAGCCACACUGGAACUGAGACACGGUCCAGACUCCUACGGGAGGCAGCAGUAGGGAAUAUUCGACAAUGGGCGAAAGCCUGAUGCAGCAAUGCCGCGUGUGUGAAGAAGGUCUUCGGAUCGUAAAGCACUUUUAGUUGGGAAGAAGGAAUGUAAGUGAAUACCUUGCUGUUUUGACGUUACCUACAGAAAAAGCAACGGCUAACUACGUG